GUGACCUCGAAUCAGGAGGAA
rnacentral:rRNA from 1 species